rnacentral:rRNA from 1 species
CGCGUGUACUGGUCCGGCCGGGCCUUUCCUUCUGGAGAGCCCCAUGCCCUUCACUGGGCGUGCGGGGGAACCAGGACUUUUACUUUGAAAAAAUUAGAGUGUUCAAAGCAGGCCUUUGCUCGAAUACGUUAGCAUGGAAUAAUAGAAUAGGACGUGCGGUCCUAUUUUGUUGGUUUCUAGGACCGCCGUAAUGAUUAAUAGGGAUAGUCGGGGGCAUCAGUAUUCAAUUGUCAGAGGUGAAAUUCUUGGAUUUAUUGAAGACUAACUACUGCGAAAGCAUUUGCCAAGGAUGUUUUCAUUAAUCAGUGAACGAAAGUUAGGGGAUCGAAGACGAUCAGAUACCGUCGUAGUCUUAACCGUAAACUAUGCCGACUAGGGAUCGGGCGAUGUUUCUAUCUUGACUCGCUCGGCACCUUACGAGAAAUCAAAGUUUUUGGGUUCUGGGGGGAGUAUGGUCGCAAGGCUGAAACUUAAAGAAAUUGACGGAAGGGCACCACCAGGCGUGGAGCCCGCGGCUUAAUUUGACUCAACACGGGGAAACUCACCAGGUCCAGAUGAAAUAAGGAUUGACAGAUUGAGAGCUCUUUCUUGAUUUUUCAGGUGGUGGUGCAUGGCCGUUCUUAGUUGGUGGAGUGAUUUGUCUGCUUAAUUGCGAUAACGAACGAGACCUUAACCUGCUAAAUAGCCAGGCUAGCUUUGGCUGGUCGCCGGCUUCUUAGAGGGACUAUCGG